rnacentral:rRNA from 1 species
CAUGUGGAAGGUGCGGCGCACAGCUCAGUAACACGUGGCCAACCUGCCCUUGAGACAGAAACAACCCCGGGAAACUGGGGCUAAUUUCCGAUAGGCGAAGAACCCUGGAAUGGGUCUCCACCCAAAGGGCGUCAGAUCAUGCUUCUGGCGUUGCUCAAGGAUGGGGCCGCGACCGAUCAGGUUGUUGGUGAGGUAAUGGCUCACCAAGCCUAUAACCGGUGCGGGCCGUGAGAGCGGGAGCCCGGAGAUGGGCACUGAGACAAGGGCCCAGGUCCUACGGGGCGCAGCAGUCGCGAAAACUUUGCAAUACACGAAAGUGUGACAGGGUCAUCCCGAGUGCCGACCGCUGAGGUUGGCUUUUACCCAGUCUAGAAAGCUGGGGGAAUAAGGAGAGGGCAAGUCUGGUGUCAGCCGCCGCGGUAAUACCAGCUCUCCGAGUGGUGUGGACGUUUAUUGGGCCUAAAGCAUCCGUAGCUGGCUGAACAAGUCCUUUGUUAAACCCAACGAUUUAAUCGUUGGUCUGCGGGGGAUACUGUUCGGCUAGGGGACGAGAGAGGCAGACGGUAUUUCCGGGGUAGGGGUGAAAUCCUAUAAUCCCGGGAGGACCACCAGUGGCGAAGGCUGUCUGCUAGAACGCGCCCGACGGUGAGGGAUGAAAGCUGGGGGAGCGAACCGGAUUAGAUACCCGGGUAGUCCCAGCUGUAAACGAUGCAGGCUAGGUGUUUGGACGGCCACGUGCCGUUCUAGUGCCGCAGGGAAGCUGUUAAGCCUGCCGCCUGGGGAGUACGAUCGCAAGAUUGAAACUUAAAGGAAUUGGCGGGGGAGCACCACAAGGGGUGAAGCUUGCGGUUUAAUUGGAGUCAACGCCGGG